rnacentral:lncRNA from 1 species
AGAAAUCCCUUAGCUUACCACAGAGCAGAACCCCCAGAGGACCAGGACUCCCAAUGUCCCCCCAUUCCCCACCCGCCAGGAGAGAGCUUACCUCUCCCUCUUCCCAGCUGAGACCCUUCUGUGUCCCUUUCUGCACCUCUGCCCCGCCGCCCCCUCUAGCUCUCAUGCCUUCAUAUUUCCCCUGCCUUACUCCUCCUUUCCACCCAGCUCAGCCCUGUCCUUCCUAAACCCUCCUUCAGGCUUGGUGUCUUUCAGUAGCCAAAUAAAUUUCAGAGCACGGAGAUGGGAGCCAGCACAGAUGAGGUCCAGGCAUUUUUUAAGGGGUAGAGUGAGAUCAGGAGUCACCCUGUUUCUUCCCUCCCCACCCAGACUCCACACAGCCCUGGGCUGUGAAUCACUGAUUCAAAAGGGCCAUGAAGUUAGGCAAAGGUGCAGAACUGUUAUGGGGCUGGAGGAACAUGCAGGUGGCAUGAGGGCCAUUUGGGUGACAGCAAGAGGAAGCAGCGCUGCUCACUCCUUCUCCAGUCCAGGGCCCCGUGAUGGAUUUCACCUUGGACAUUUGCCUUUGGAACGGUUGCUCCUUGCCAAGAGCACUCCCCCAGAGACAGAUGGAGAAGGAGACAGCUCCGUGGUUCCCGUUCUGGGACUGGCCUUUUGCCUCCUGCCUCCCACAGCUCAGGUGGAGAGAGGAGGGCCCUGCCCUUACCGACUGGAGAGCAUCAGGUAGGACUGCUGCUUAGCAAGAAUAAAACUGAAUUUCUGCAGAUUUGGCCUGGGCCUGCUCUCACUUGAGAUGUGUCAGGGGAACAGGAGAAGAGACAAUAAUAGUAAAGUGGUAUCGACGUAGCGUUAAUACUUUCCUCUUUGUUAUGACUAUUCGUAUGUCUUUUCAAAUUUAAUCUUCACAGUAACUAACUGAAACAGCUUUUGUGUUCCCUUCUCACAGAUCAAGAAACUGAGGGUCAGUGAGGCUAGGAUGACACGGAUGUGGAGGAAGGGCUGGCUUUCCAGCCUGUCUUCUGACAUUAAAUCUGUGUGUCUUUUAUGAUGCAUCAAGGAGGAACGCAUCUCCCCCAUGGCUUCCUCUCACUUUUGUUUCUUCAAAAGAGAUAGAGUGUGGCUCAGAUUAGGGCAGCUCAUCCUUUUCCAGUGGUGGAUGCCAAGGGAGAGAGUUUAGCCUGAAGGAAGGGUUGUCGUGCUGAGCCAAGAUCAGGGUCUACACCAGGCAGACUCGAAGUGGGAAGUCACACUUACAAGGGAGCGGGUGGCCAGCCAGCCCCCUUUGCUGUGCUUGGAAGAGAAUAGCAGUGAAACAGUCUCUCCACAAAGCACUGGGAUAUGGUUUGACUGUGUCUCCACCCAAAUCUCAUCUUGAAUUGUAGCUCCUAUAAUUCCCACAUAUCACGGGAGGAUCCUGGUGGGAGGUAAUUGAAUCAUAAGGUCAGAUCUUUCCUGUGCUGUUCUCAUGAUAGUGAAUAAAUCUCAUAAGAUCUGAUGGUUUUAUAAAGCAGAGUUCCCCUACACAAGCUCUCUUGCCUGCCACCAUGUGAGACGUGACUUUGCUCGUCAUUUGCCUUCCUCCAUGAUUGCGAGGCCUCCCCAGCCAUAUGGAACUGUGAGUCAAUUAAACUACUUUCUUUUAUAAAUUACCCAGUCUCAGGUAUGUCUUUAUUAGCAGUGUGAGAACAGACUAAUACACAUUUAAAUCUUCAGUAAUCAUCAUGCUCUGGGUAACACACAGUCACAUAAGACUAGAAUUCAAGAGAAAGGAAAGAAAGUAGCAUUUUUGAGGUCUCCUGUGCAGUAGGCAUGGAACUAGGGAGUUCACAUAUUUUGUUUGAUUUUCAUAACAGCCUUAUAAGAUGGGCUUUACUAUCCUCAUUUCAGAAGAGAUUGAGGCCCAGAAAGAUUAGAUAAUUUGCCUGUGGUCUCAUUGCUAGUAAAUAGUGGAGGUAUAAUUCAAAUCCCAGUUAUCUGUCCCUGCAUCUGUUAGUAAACUAGAAGCUGGUCUUUCACAUGUCUCCUGGAGAGUAGGGAGGUCUCUCUUCCAGAACCCAGGACAGUGCCUCACAGACCAUAGCUUAACCUGGUAACUUCUACUUCCUAACCCAUCCCGCACACAUCCUGAAGAUGUAGUGGGGCAAUAGGUAGAGUUAGCAGAAGGAGUUCAGGUUGUUAGUCAGAAAGAACCCCAGAGUUCCCCUCUGGCUUCAUGUCAAUCUUUUUUUUUUUUUUUUUUUUGAGUUGGAGUCUUGCUCUGUUGCCCAGGCUGGAGUGCAAUGGUGCAAUCUCGGCUCACUGCAACCUCUGCCUCCCAAGUUCAAGUGAUUCUCCUGCCUCAGCCUCCUGAGUAGCUGGGAUUACAGGUAUGCACCACCAUGCCCGGCUAAUUUUUGUAUCGUUAGUAGACACGGGGUUUCACCAUGUUGGCCAGGCUGGUCUUGAACUCCUGACCUCAGGUGAUCUGCCCACCUUGGCCUCCCAAAGUGCUGGGAUUACAAGUGUGAGCCACUGCUCCUGGCCAUCAGUGUUUAAAGACAGGCACUGUGCCUUUUUCACCUUUGAGUUACUGGUGGCUGACAAAUAGCAGGGGCUCAAGAAAGGUAAGCUACUGACUUUAACUGAGGAGACUUGUUUUUUUUUGUUUUUUUUUUGUUUUUUUUUUUGAGAUGGAGUCUCGCUCUUUCACCCAGGCCAGAGUGCAGUGGCGCUAUCUCAGCUCACUGCAAGCUCCGCCUCCCGGGUUCACACCAUUCUCCUGCCUCAGCCUCCCGAGUAUCUGGGACUACAGGCGCCCGCCACCACGCCCAGCUAAUUUUUUGUAUUUUUAGUAGAGACGGUAUUUCACUGUGUUAGCCAGGAUGGUCUCGAUCUCUGAGAAGACCUUAAGGUUAAGAUAUGAGAACUUCAAAAUCAUAGAAGCUACAGUUGCAGAUUGGCCAAAAGCAUAUAAAUUCACUGGACACAACCCAGUGAAAAAUAAUGAGGAAAGGGGAAUUGGGCAAUUGGAUGGAAGGCCUGGAAGUAGCUGCUACAGAAUGUGCAUCUGCAGGGAUUCAGGAGACCCGGGUUCUAGUCCCAGCUCUGCCACUCACCAGCUGGGGGAUCUUGGGCAAGGUGCUUCCUCCCUGUGAACCUCAGUUCAUUUAUUUGUAAAGUGAAGGAUGGGGGCCGUAUUCUAAGAUCCUUUUGAUUCCCACAUUCUGGGAGUUUUGAAUCAUUACUUGCCUAAACACCUUCCCAGAUUCCUGGGGAAAAGAUAAAGAAGGUUGUUUCUUUUUAAAAGCUUAUUUUUAAAAAAAUUGACAAGUAAAACUUGUGCCUAUUUAUGGCAUAUAACAUCAUGUUUUGAUAUAUGUAUACAGGCCAGCAUGGCUAAUUCAAACUAUUGAACAUAUGUAUUAUUUGACAUCCUUAUUUAAUGGUGGUUAAGAACAUGUAAAAUCUACUCUCUGAGCAAUUUUAAAAUAUAAGAUAUAUUGUUUUGAACUGUAGUUGCCCUGAUGUACAAUAGGUCUCCUGAACAUAUUCCUCCUGUCUAACUGAAGUUUUGUGUUCUUUGAUCAAUAUCUCCUCAAUCCUCCAACCCAACAGCCUCUGGGAUCCACCAUUUUACUCUGUUUCUAUGAGUUGGACUUUCUUACAUUCCACAUAUAAGUGACAUCACGCAGUCUUUAUCUUUCUAUGCCUGGCUUAUUUCACUUAACGUAAUGCCCUCCAGGUUCAUCUGAGAAGGUUGUCUCUAGAAACAGAAAAGAGUUUCACCUCCAACCAGGGUGACAGGAGCAGUCCUACCUGAGAGCCAGAGAUGGACUUGAUGGCAUGAGCCAGAUCUUUUCAAGUCUGGGGGUGUUGCUGGUUUGAAAGUGGACAUGGUACCCCAUUUCUAAACCUCAGGCUCUCUGGACAAUGCAGCUCAGCCUUCAGCUCCACCAGAGAGGCUGCAGUGUGUGAAGACAGCUCAUUCUGCGGGAGGAGGAAGAGCAGAGAAACCACCACCCUAUGGGUCGUUCUCAGAUCCCUCGUGUGCUGGCUGUCUCCCACCCAGGCUCAGUUUGCACUGCUAAUCUGUUACGUCUUUCUUGGGCAGCUGUUGUGGAGCCUGGUCCAUCCUGAGCACUCCAGUGUUCCAUUUCAAGGAUCUCUUCCUGGCUCCCCUCCCACCAGAGAAUGUGGCCUUGGGAUCAAGGCGUGGAGAGCUGCCAGCUACUGCCACCUGCCACAAAGCCUCAUCACCCUUGCGUAUCUCUCUCCCCUCUCCGUCCUCGGCAUGGGGUCACAUUGUGGGUCAUUAUUUCCUUUCACCAAGGUAUGAGCAGAGGGAGAGAGGGCUGGAAAAAGAGACUCUCCCUUUGCUAACUGAUGAGGGAGAAGUAUGGGGUCCAAGUGGGCCUGCCCCUUGCCUAAUUUUUGCCCAAUUUUUUGGCCUCUGGAGUCCCUGGUAGACUUCUUAACUUCUUGCACACAAGGUUACCAUGUGUCUAAUUGCUCAGCUCCAGUUAGAGUGGUGGAGGGAAACUGGUAUCAAUGAAUGAAUGAAUGAAUGGAUGGAUGGUUUAAUGACAGCUUGGAGAACCGACUGGGGUUUGAGCAAGAAACAGGAAGAGAAAGCCAACAUCUUUUAGCUCACCAAAUACUUUCAUGCCCCUUGGGAGGAAGAAAAAUGGAUAUGGGAAAUGCAGAGCAUGGAAGAGCUUAAAUUGAGCAUAAAGGACAUAAAACUAGAUAAGUAAGAUCAGAAAUAAAAGAUGAGUCAUCAUCGAAUCCAAACCUUUACAUUUUCAGCAGAGGGUGCCAAAACCUCAAGGGGAUAGUGACUUCCUUAAAAUUACAGAACCAGAGUGAAGACUGGGGUCUUUUGACUCUUUUUUUUUUUUUUUUUCUGUCCCUAACAAAAUGUUGCUCUUUUCUUCUCCAUACUUUUAUAUUUUCAAACUCAUUUAUUCCAGAAAAUUACCUGCCUUCUAACCUGGAGUUCCUCUUUUUUGAUCUAAAGAAGUUAUCCAAACUUACCUUGAGCUUACUGUCCUUGAAGCCAUUUUGGCCUUUGUUUUGUGGCCUCAAGGCUGCCCUCACUUAGAAAGGAUGAGUGACGGUAGCAGAAGCCAGCCAAGCAGGGCCAGUUUCUCCCAAGGCUGGCCCCAUGAAAGGUUUGGCUUGGGUUCUCACCAGGGUCCACAAGUCUUGCCUCCUAGAAGUUUGGUCCAGUGGUCUGCAGUCCUGGGAAUUUAUGCCGUCUCAAACAGAGGUUUUCAGACCUUGCCUGAUGAUCCAGGGACUGGAACUGAACACACGUUGUACCUCUUUAUAGCAACUUGGGUGUCCCAAACAGGACCCAUCACUUCCAAGUCCCAGGCUAGGAUUUUCUAACCAAGUAUGUAGUUAGAGGAAAAUUUAAUCCACAUGUAUCUGACUCACUGAUCUUUAAAUCAUCCUAGAGUUUGAUUCUGGGAAUGGUUUGAUGUGUACUCUGCUUUUUUUCAACUUUUGGAUUGGUGCACUGGCCAAGACAUAAUAAAUAGCAACCCUGAGAGAGAGAAGGAAGCUUCAAGUAGAGGCAUGACCUGCAGGCUCUUCCCUUCGUCCCAGCUGGAGACAGGCGCCCAGCAGGAGUAGAGAGUAGGCCAGAAGCCCAGAAAUGUGCCUUAGGUUAACCUCACCCUCAGCCUCCUCUUCUGCUUGUAUUUCUGGGAUGCAGAGCCCGACUAGGGAAAAAUCACUCAGCCUAAAAGAUGGUAACACCACAGAUUUAUGGCAUCUGAUCUUUGUUGCACCCUCCAGGGUACAAACUAAUCCCAGCUUGUGAUUCCUACUGUCAUCUAAGGUCAUUCCAGGCCUUUUCCACUCUUCUGGAGAUCUCGAGCACUUUUUUUCAACAAUUUCUCAUUUUGAAAAGAAAAAGGAGUCCAUCAGGAAAGAAUUUCCUCCAUUGCCUGCGACGCUCUACAAACCUCCAUGCCUCAGCCACCCUCGUUUUCCAUGAGGUCUCCCUGUCAGGGCUGGUUCCUCAGAUCUCCCCCCAGUAAUCCUCCUUCAUGAAAACCUCAGAGUCUCAGAGUCUGUUUCCGCUGAUGUGAGCUAAGAAUGUUUCAGGAAGAGGGGUAUGUCAUCGGGAUCCCAUUUCUUCCUGUGUCCUCCGGGACCUUGCUCUAAGGUCCUCUCUUUCGUCCUGAGACUUUUCUGAAUCUUUAAGCUCCACCUCUCCUUAGCCAUACAUACUCAUUCAAGUAUUUCCCGUACUAAAAAACAAAAUGAAACCUUCCUUCCACCUGAAGUCUCUAUGACCCCUCAUGUCUUCUCUUUUAGUCAAGCCUCUCGUAAGUGUCCCCUGUUUUUUCUCCCUUCAUGUCACAUUGACUCCACAACGCAUUGUAGCCUGGCAUGCACUGUCAUCACAGAAAUGCCCUCUGUGGGUCAGGCACGGUGGCUCACGCCUGUCAUCCCAGCACUUUGGGAGGCCGAGUUGGGCAGAUCACCUGAUGUCAGCAGUUCAAGACCAGCCUGGCCAACAUAGUGAAAACCCAUCUCUACAAAAAUAUAAAAAUUAGCUGGGCAUGAUGGCAGGUGCCUGUAAUCCCAGCUACUCAGGAGGCUGAGGUGGAAGAAUCACCUGAACCCGGGAGGCGGAGGUUGCAGUGAGCUGAGAUUGUGCCAUUGCACUCCAGCCUGGGUGACAGAGUGAGACUCCAUCUCAAAAAAAAAAAAAAAGAAAAAAAAGAAAGAAAUGCCCUCUGUGAAGUCAUCAGGGACCACCUGUAGUCACAUUUCAGUCUUUUCCUUACUGGACUUGUCCAGCAGUGUUUGACAUCAUUGACCUUCCCCGCAGUCCUGACAUGCUUUGCCCCUUCGUGCUGCGUGACACUGCUCUUUCCUGGAUCUCUUCUACAACUUUCUAAGAUUCUUUUCAGUCUCCUUUGUGGGUCCUCUUUUCUCCAGUAGAUGCAUGCACAUUGGUUGGGAUUUCCCAUGGCUACCUGUGGCUAUCCAAUGCUGUCUUCCCUCCUCCCUCUGCACACUCCCCACUUCCAGCUAAGCUACACCCUCAUGCCCAUGACCCCAGAUCUGCAUAUCCAGCCAAGGACUUUGUUCUGAGCUCCACCUUAAGUUCUCUGAGACCAAAGCAGGACUCUUGCUUCCCUCUGAGUCUGCUCACAUUUCUGAAGAUCCGAUCCUGGAGAAGGGUGUCAACAUUUCCCAGGCCUUCUGCCUCAUUCUUAACACCCAGUCUGUCUUGCCAGGUUUCCUGCUUAAGCAUGCAUCUGCCCACCUCUAGCCCACCCCCCCCAACUCUAGCCCACCUCCCCCAGCUUUUUUUUUUUUUUUUUUUUGAGAUGGAGUCUUGCUCUGUCACCAGGCUGGAGUGCAAUGGCGAGAUCUUGGCUCACUGCAACCUCCGACUCCCAAGUUCAAGUGAUUCGCCUGCCUCUACCUCCCGAGUAGCCGGGAUUACAGGCGCCGCCAUCUCGCCUGGCUAAUUUUUGUAUUUUUAGUAGAGACGGGGUUUCACCAUGUUGGCCAGGCUGGUCUCAAACUCCUGACCUUGUGAUCCUCCUGCCUUGGCCUCCUAAAGUACCGGGAUUACAGGCGUGAGCCACCAUGCCCGGCCUCUAGCCCCAUUUUGGCUUCCUUAGAUCAGGCUCUCACUUCUUGCUAGUCUCCCAGCUGGUUUCCCUUCAGCCUGUCCUGACCAUAGCCGAUCCAUACUACCCAUAGCCCCAAGAAUGGUCUUUUUAUAAAAUAAAUCUUGUCCAUCACUCCCUUACUUAAAAUGCUUUAGUGGCUUCUCAUCACUCAGGGUAAAAUCUAAAUUCUUUAACAUAGCAUUAAAAAAUCCUUUAUGCUCUGGUCCCAUCUGUCAGCCGAACUUCAUUUCCCCCGCCAAGCUCUCCUCUUUAAGCCAUAGCAGCACUGCCAUUCAUUGUCCGAACUCCCAGAACACAGCAGGCUUUCCUGUGACUCGAUUUUUUUCUUGUGUCUUUGCAUUUGCUCCUUCUUCUACCUACACUGCUCUUUCUCCACUUGUCCACCAGAAAACCUCCUAUUCAGCUUUCCAGGCUCAACUCAUGCCCUGUCUCCUCCUGGAGGCCUUCCCUGAUUUCUCAAGGCAAAUUCGAAUGCUGUUUCCCCCACCUCCCCCUUCUGCAUUCUGUACCUGCCUCCACUGCUAAUGAGCAUACUCGGCUGUGAUUGCUUAUUUGAAGUAGGAGCCUCUGCCCACCCCUGGAAGCCUAGACCUGUUGAAAGCAGUGUCUACACUUUUCAUCUUUGUAUGUCCUAUACAAAGUAUAGGGCCUGGCAUAUAAUAGGCACUCAAUAAACUUUUUUUUUUUUUUUUUUUUUUUGAGACAAAGUCUUGCUCUGUUGCCCAGGCUGGAGUGCAAUGGUGCAAUCUCAGCUCACUGCAACCGUGCCUCCCGGAUUCAAGGGAUUCUCCUGCCUCAGCUGCCUCAGUAGCUGGGAUUACAGGUGCAUACCAGUGCACCUGGCUAAUUUUUGUAUUUUUAGUAGAGACAGGGUUUCACCAUGUUGGCCAGGCUGGUCUUGAACUCCUGACCUCAGUUGAUCCACCCACCUCGACCUCCCAAAGUGUUGAGAUUAUAGACAUGAGCCACUGCGCCCGGCCUACAUUCAAGAAACUUUUUGUCGUUGUUGUUGUUGCUGUUUUUGAAACGGAGUUUCGUUCUGUUCUCCUAGGCUGGAGUGCAGUGGCAUGAUCUUGGCUCACUGCAACCUUCGCCUCCUGGGUUCAAGUGAUUCUCCUGUCUCAGUCUCCUGAGUAGCUGGGACUACAUGCACCCACCACCAUGCCUGGCUAAUUUCUAUAUCUUUUAGGAGAGAUGGGGUUUCCAUGUUGGCCAGGGUACUCUCAAUAAAUGUUUAAUUAGUAAUCAUGCCUAGCUUUUAUGGAGCACUUUCAACGGGGCCAGGCCAAGUGCUAAAGCGUUUUAACAUCCCUUACAUCACCGAGUUCACACAAUCACCACUACCAGAUGAGGUAGGUGUCAUUAUCCCUGUUUUAAAGAUGAGAAAACUGAGACUGACAGAGGCUAGGUAACUCUCCCAAGCUAGUAAGUGGCACAGAAGAGUCACGAACCAUGUUCUUCCCCAUGAGCGCCUGCUGCUAUUUGCAGGCAGUUACACAGGUAGAGUUUCAGGAUGGCGAGUUCUGCGUCUGCUCUAAGGAACUGCCUUGCACACAGUCUGUCACACCCCAGGCCAUUUAGUGUUUCCCUGUACCUAUCAACUCAGGCCUUGAGGCCUGCACUUGGCAAACAAAAUGUAGGCAUUCCCUCUUCAGCCAGUCUUUGGUCCCAUAUCAAAGUCUUUUCUUGCCAAUAGGGUCCCAUAGUUGCUGCCCAGACCCUUCCUAGAUUUGCUGCCCGAUGUCCUAGUCUCCUGGCUGUGAGUUCAGCCUCCUGCCCAUGCAGACUCACAGUCAGCAGCGCUCUGUAAUGCUUGAUUUCCCAGCCUUGUCUAGCCAGUAGUUGGUUGCAAGCCUUUAGUUCUGAGGAGCAGCCCUGGUCCACAGCCUUGGCUCUGAGCUGACCGCUUCCCGUGUAGCCCCAGGACUGUCAGCCUGCCAGUCCCCUGCCCCUGUGCCCUCCUGGCCUUGCUCUGAGUCUCCUGGCCCUGAGUGCCGUGUCUGCUCACAUGGACGGCAGCUCGGGCCAGACAGCCAGAGAAGACAGAGAGGUGAGGGGACAUGUAGAAAAGGCCCAUAGUGUCUCCCAGCGAGGGCUAUGCGGGUCUCCAGGAGUCCGGGCGAGACUGCCUCCUCAGGGUCCUCACCCCCACACCUGCGACCUAAAAAUGCACGCCUCUGUGCCUCUACAGCCACCAGCCGGCUUUAUGGGCUUUCUGACUUUGUUUUAUUCCCCAAUAUUUUGUUUUCUUUUUAAAAAUAUAUAUUUUAAUAGUUUUGGGGGUACAGGUAGUUUUUGAUUAUGUGGAUGAGUUCUUUAGUGGUGAUUUCUGAGAGAUUGGUGCACCCGCCACCCGAGCAGUGUACACUGUACCCAGUGUGUACUCUUUCAUCCCUCACCCCCUUCCCACCCUUCCCUGCAAGUCCCCAGAGUCCCUUCUACCAUUCCUAUGCCUUUGUAUCCCCAUAGCUUAGCUCUCACUUAUAAGUGAGAACAUAUGGCUUUGUUUUCCAUCCCUGAGUUACUUCUCUUAGAAUAAUGAUCUCCAGCUCCAUCCAAGUUGAUGCAAAGGCCCUUAUUUUGUUCCGUUUUAUGGCUGAGUAGUAGUCCAUGGUGUAUAUAUACUACAUUUUCUUUUUUCUUUUUUUUUUUUCGAGACGGAGUUUUGCUCUUGUUGCCCAGGCUGGAGUGCAAUGGCAUGACCUCAGCUCGCUGCAAACUCCGCCUCCCGGGUUCAAGAGAUUCUCUUGCCUCAGCCUCCCAAGUAGCUGGGAUUACAGGCGUGUGCCACCACGACCAGCUAAUUUUGUAUUUUUAGUACAGAUGGGGUUUCACCAUGUUGGACAGGCUGGUCUUGAACUCCCGACCUCAGGUGAUCGGCCCACGUCGGCCUCCCAAAGAGCUGGGAUUACAGGCAUGAGCCACUGUGCCUGGUCUACCACAUUUGCUUAAUUUGCUUGUUGGUUGACGGGCAUUUAAAAGGCUCCUCUUUUUUUAGAGGUAGGAUCUCACUAUGUUGCCCAGGCUGGUCUCAAACUCCUGAGCUCAAGCAAUCUGCCCACCUUGGCCUCCCAAAGUGCUGGGAUCACAGACAUGAACCACUGUGCCCAGUCCCCAGCUCCAUAUUUUUGCAAUUGCGAAUUCUUUCUGUGCUUUCUUCUUAGCCUCCGUUAGUUUCUCACUAUGACAAAGUUACGGUGCAAGUAAAAGAAAUAUGCUCUUGCCUGACAGGAUGAAUAUUCUGCAUUUAGCUUGUAUUGCUAUUUUAUUGAAUAAUUAUUGUACCUGACUACAAUUAUUAUAUUAACAGUACUCUCUUGACUGACAAGAUGAAUUUUUUCAUUCAACUUUUAUUGCUAUUUUAAUGAACAAUUAUUGUACCUGACUACAAUUAUUAUAGUAACAAUAUGCAGUCAUUGAAUAAGGCUUGGGCUUUGGAAAUAUACAAAGUACAGAUUAAUCUGAACAGUGAAACUUUUAAAUGAUAAUGCCUCAAUUUUGUAGGUCGUUUUUAUUAUAAUGCACUUUCUCACAUAUUCUGCUUCAACUCCGUAAAUAUGUUUUUUCCAGCUUUAACAAAGGGUGGGAUUUUAAAUCAUGCCAUCUCUGUCAGUCACUGUUGAAGGCAAGGGUGCUAGUGCUGGCGUCUUUAUAUAUGCCAUCUUAUUAAUCUUUACAGCAAUCAUGAAAGAGGGGAAUUUCCCCCACUUUAUAGAGAGAAGAAAUGAGGUAAAUUGCCCAGUCCUCCACAGCUAAUAAGAGAAAAGCUGAGAUCUGAAACCAGAUCUGCCCGAAGCUCAAGCUUUGAUGCCUCUGCUGUGCCACUCUGCCGGAUGCCAGGCCUGUCUUGGUCUGUAGCUGUCUCUCAAGGCAGGAAUGGAUGCUACCACCACCCCUGCCUCGGUGCGCCUGCAUUUUCUUACGUAUUAAACACAAAUUCCUGGGGGUAACUUCCAGUCUCUUUGGCCUAAGUGAUUUUUCCUGUAUUGUUCCCCUAGAUUUAAUACAGGCCUCCAGGUAACUGACAUUUUCAUCUGACUUCUUGUUAGGGAUACCUGGCACUUACUGCAGGGCUGGCAGUCUCAAGACGCCACCCUUCCCAAGGAGAGGGCAAGGAUACCUCCUGGGAAGCUCCCAGGGAAGGGUAAAGGCCAGCAGGACCUUGCUGAGAAGGUCCUUCCAGGACUAAGCGGGAGGCUUUACUGCCCAAUUGUCAUCUCUGAAUCUGCCAUCUGGGUGGUGUUUUCCCCCUUAAACUAUCCCGGCCCCGAAGGGACACAACUGUGAAAAGAAUCCAGAGGAUGGGGGGAGGGGGGGCCUCUGUGGGGAAGUGGAAAGGAUUUGGGGCCCGAGUUCUGAUCUGUGAGGCUCUGUGAGGCCUAUCCUUGGGGUUCGGGUCACCCCCUGCUUGCGGGAGGUUUUGCUGGUUGAGCCGGUGACUGGAUCAUGUCGAAGGUUUUUUUACUUCUGUAAUGUUCCAAGUGUCUAGAGUCUCAUUCCGGUGGUCCCCUCAGGAUGAGUGGCUCCUAACAGAGCACCCCCCACCCCCCCCGGGACUGGUGGGCUGCCUGAGGAAGCUCCAAGCCUGGGUCCAGGUCUCUGUGCACCUGAGGCCCCAGCUCAUCCCCACACCCAGGCAAAGGGUGACAGUCUCAGGCACUACUCUGAUGUAGCCUGUUUGAGGCUGGGGCCCAGUGGGAGCCGCACGUGGGACAGGGAGCAGUCCCCGGUUCCAGGAAAGAGCACGAGCAAGUGUGUCUGAGUGUGUGUAAGCGUGUGGUGUUUAUUUAUUCUAGGAGCGGUUGCUAAGUCAGACGUGUUUGCCAGCAGAGGGCUGCCUGAGUGCUGUGUUUGUUUACUCAGCACAGUGCAGGGAAGGGUGAUCGGACAGACAAGUGCAGGCUACAGCCGUUUGGUGGGGGGCACAUAGCGUGAGAUGAGAAUUGGUCUUGGGGGCCGUCUGGCGUGGUCCCAUUCUAUGGGUGCUGCUGGCUGUUGAGAGCUGCCUUCCGGGACACAGGCCCUGCCUUCUUUGAUGUGCCAGCGGCUCUCUCACUGACCCUCCUCCCAAGCAGGGUGGAGCUGCUCAUUACCCCACAGGGCAGUGGGCCCUCCUUCCCUUCAUGGGGCUGGGGGAGGGUUCCUGGCUACGGGGUCUCGGGGGUCCCUGAGAGAAAGUGGAUAAAAUGUGGGCAGUGGUAUGAGGAGGAGACAGUGGGUUCUCAGUCCCAUUCCUACCCUGUCCAAGAGCUUGUCCACCCUUAGUUAGGCUUGGCCUUUCCAACGGGCGAUCACAUCUUACCAAGACUGAAGUCCACUGCCUCCUAGUCUCCUGUCCUCAGUCUUCCAGGUUAUAGAUUGGUUAUAUAUUCCCUAUCUUCAGGAGAGAGUGAGAGACAGAGAGAGAGAGAGAGAGAGAGAGGAGGAAGGCAAAACAGAGACCCUCCUGACUCCCUGUCCACCCUCAGCCACAGGCCAGAGGUAGGGACUGGCUGAAUUUCAGGGUCAGGACUUCCCAGCUGGGUGGCCCCAGAGGCCUCUGCCUCCCUCUUCCUGCCCUAAGGCCCCAGCACCACGUCUGUAAGUCUCUGAGAGAGCCCUGGCUCCCCCGACACAGGCUGGCUGGCAGCCAGGGGUGGUGUUCUGGCUCCUGUACCAGCCAGAUGGGGUGGCAGGAAGGCCCUGUUAAUCCCCAGGGAGAAAGCUCCUUGGCAAACAGAAAAAAAGUGGCUGCCGGCACUAUGUCCCUACCCUGGGACCAUGAAACACCAUACCCCGAAGUCUUUGGGGCAGAUUUUGUGCCUCUGUAUUCUGCCCACACCUUCCACGGCGCUUGGGCUGGAGUCCCAGCUGGGGCUAUGGAGUAGGGAAGGGAGACCGGGUUCCCCCUUCUCAGGUUAAGGCUUUUCUGUAAUGGACAGUUUGCCUCUGCUUCUCUCAAACACCCUAGGGAAUUGUGAAGACAGGGUGCAGGCAGGCACUAGGCCCUCCUCUGGGCUCCAGCCAUCUAGAGCUCUUAUUUGCUCUGAACUUUCCUGAUAGUGUUUGGAGAAGCAACUGGGAUUGUCUGGGUCCUCCUUCUACCCCAUCACUCCACCACCCACCUCUGCCCCCAUCAUCCCCCACCCCCACCACACACACCCAGACUUCUGCCACUGAAGCUGCCUCUUCUGCUGGUGUGGCAAAUAAGUGUGGAGAGAGUGAAACCAGAUACAGAGAAGGCAGCCAGCUGGGGAGGUGGUGGGUGGUGUUCUGCCGACCAGGCCUCCUGCUGUCCUCCCCCGGAGCCAGGAUGGUGGAGGUCCUGGGCCCAGCCUCGGUCUGCCUUUUCCCCUGCAUGCCCAGCUGGUGUGCCACCUGUGAGGGGCUGACAGCUCCUUGCUCCUCCAGUGGUCUUGUCUUGGUCCUGGGUUUGGGGAACAGGAUUCCCUGAGCCAGUCCCUCCCUACACUUGGCAGUUACUGGGGAAGCUGAGCACCAAGGCUUGAGCCAUUUCUUGCUUUCCCUACCUGUCUCUGUCUCACCUCCAUCCACAUUCCUUGCAACAUGGUACCAAAGUAAGGCUUUGAACUUGGGAUGAGUGGGGUGAAUUUCACUCUUCCCAACAGCAAAAAUGGAAGCUAAUCUGGUUUCAUCUCAGUUUGUAAGAUCCCUAGAUUCCCAAGGGAGCUGGGAAACCUCACUUGGGUCUAAAAGGUCAUUUAAGGGCCGCUUCCAGACCUGGCUCAUGCUCCCGAUUGGUGGUGGGGGGUGGAGGGGUGCUGGCUGGGAUUGUGGUCACUGAAGAGGGUCAGGAGCAAGGGUCAUUGGGUAGAACGGCUCCCUUUGUCCCACUAGGCCACGAAUUGGUUCUGGCAUUCCCAAGGGGAAUGCUCCAAGCCAAGUAAGGGCCACUGUGUCCAGGUGGACCAUUCCCAAACCCAUUUCUAUCAUGGAUCAUUUUCCAGAAACUUUCCAACAUGGGAAAUCACAACUGAAGCUGGUUGUUUAGAUCGGAAAAUCUGGGUGUAGUGUCAUUAGAAAAACCAGAGUCUCCUCACAUGAACCUUUGCCUGCAACCUCUCCCUGGCCUGCCUGCUGCUCUCUGCCUGAGUCACAACAGCAUUCAACAGCUUGGACACAGAGCUUUACAAUGUGCCAAGUGCUCCCACGUGCCCUGUGGCAUUUACUCCGCCUAGCAGCCUGGAGAGAUAAGUUAGUGUUAGCUCCACCCAGCAGAGGAUGGAAGCCCUGGGAAGUCACCGGCCUCACUGAGGUUGUACAGGCAGUAGGUGGCAGGACUUGAAAUCUCGCGUCCUUUCCACGGAAUCUUUUCUGCCAGCAACCCAGAGAGUGCAGGGGGAAUCCAAACAGUCUGGUGGGCACCAACUGUCUUGGCUGGCUUCCAGCUGGGCCUUUAGUGGUGACUUUGGCACGCCCGCCCCCCCCAACCCUCUGUCAAUCUUUAGGAGCUGGGGGAAUAGGGGGUGCUUUCUAGGAGGCUCUGCUCUCUUCUGAGAUGUCCCCCUUACUUCCUUCCAUUCUCUCAGGUGUGGGAGUCACUUUUCUGUGUGAAUACCAGGCCAAACUUGUCCUUUUCUUCCUUUUCUCAGAGUCACCUGCCCCAAAGCGCCCCUGUUCCUCCCUCCCUUCUCUGCCUCUUCCCCCGGGAUACCUUGCCCUUGCUUCGGGAGUGGAGGCAGUGUUGCCCCAGCAGAGGCACCGGCACUGCCAGGGUGUCCAGCUUUGCACACGGCCUCAGGCGCCCUCACGUUAGCUUUGGCUUCUUGAUGGAUCUUGAACUCCCUUGGGAUGCUUUGUGGGCUCCUGAAGGACCUCCCAGGAUGUCCCCUCUGUCCUCAGACCUGCUAUGUGACCUCAAACAGGAAUUCAGACUCUUCUUGGCCUUCGCGUUCCAGAGCAGAAGGAUAUGGGUGCCCAAAUCCAGACUCGGAGAGGCAGGAGUGAGGUGAGAGGCACAAAAUACACCUUUUUUUUCCUGAGCAAAAAUCUGCCUCAGGUCCACUCGUUUCCCAAGGGCAGCCGUGCCUUUCACCCGACAACCCGAGGACCCGCAGCCCCAGCCUCUCGGGGAAGGUGAAUGUGCAAAAGCCAAGUUUAUCCUGAGUAAUGCAACGAAUACACUGGAGGGGGUGGGGCCGCGGAAGGUUUUAUCCAGAACACAUGUUAUUGCCACUAUUCUAGUUAUCUUGGAUAUUUCCUGCAUGUUUGUCACCAUGGCAACUGACAGCAUGAAGCCUGUUUGCUGGGCCCUGGGGUCUGGCGCGGCAGCCAUGUGGUGUCAAUUUGGCCCUCUCUGCUUCCCCCAGCUCCUGUCUCUCUGUCAUGCUGCUUUUGGUCUCCGCCUCUGUCUCCCCGCCGCCUGUCUCUGGGCUUCUCUGUUUUCUUCUUCCAGGAAAUAGCUGCCCCUGCAUCCCUCGGUGACAUAGGUAUAGACAGUGUCCAGCUACUGCCACCCUAAGCCUCCCCUUAGUCCACACAGACAGUCUGUGACUAAGGGUGUUCCAGAAUGGAUGGGAAACUUGUGUGGCAGGGGAUAGGCAAGAGAUUGGCCUUCAGUGGAGAAAGGGCUCAGCCCGGCUCUGGGCUCAUGGUUCAAAAUGAGCCCAUGCUACCUACUGCUAGGCUGGGGGCUAAAGAUCCCUUGAGAAGGUGGGUUUGGGAGACACCAGUGAGGAGAGAUGUGGGCUUCUCAUCCUGAUGUUUCCUGUGUGUGGGAGUGAGGGGUCUCCAUCACUCAGAUCCUUCCUUCCCUAGGCUUUUGGAGAAGACAUAGGUAGAAUGGCAGAGAGGGGUCUCAAAUUCACAGAAGAGAAGCCAAGGAGAGAGGAGCUUGACAGCUAAGGGGCAGUGAGGUCUCUCGGCAUUAUGGGCUGCCUGGGGACCUCAAAUCCCCAGUCCUUUCUCCCAGGUCUCUGGGAUGUGGCAAGGACAGGGUGUGGCAAAGACAUGGCCAAUGGCAGUGUCCCUCCAUGGGGACACCAGGCAACAGGGAGGGUGUUGACAAUAAUAGCCUGCGAGGGAGCUGUGCCAGCAGCUUGGAAAAAGCACCGCGAGCAGACAGGCGACUCCAUGGGAGAUGAGGGCAUCUUCUGGCCCCUCUCUCCACCCCCAGGUCUGGCUUCCCUUCAUUCUGGGAAGCCCAGGACUGGGCAGUUGCCAGCCACUCUGCUUCAAGUUUUCUGCAUCCACACUGCAGAGGCCUUCCCAGGCCACCUUCCCAACCUCUACAUCUGUCAUGUGCUGUUUCUUAUCAUGCCCAAUCCCCAGUCCCCACGCAAGGUAGGCCUGGAAAUUGUCAUGCAGCCAGAGCCCCAGGCAGGGCUGGCACCCACUGCGGGACUGCUUGGAGGAGAGAGGAGGGGCUAGGGAGGUGGAGUAGGGUCCAGAACCUGCCCUGGCCACAGCUCCUGCAGGCUCAGCUCCAAGGCAUGAGGGAGUCUGGAGUGAGACAGGAGAGCUGGGGCGAGGCAGCCAUCAUGCUGGGCCCUGAGAGGACCGGCCCCGGGGCCAGCAGCCCAGAGGGUGCUGCAAAUCAGCCUUCUUUUGGGUCAGCAUCAUUCCAAGGAGGUCCAAUUCUCUGGAUGGGACAGGGCAUUGGGAAAAGUCAAAGGGCAGCCGCAGUGUGGCUCUGGGGCUCAGUCCCUUGCGUGCAGGGACCCUGUGGGUUCUGGGAGCCACAAGGGCCAAGGGAAGGGACUGCCAAGAAUUGGGUGGUGUGGUGGGGCUCGAGUCGUAUUGGAAAUGCUGGAGUCUGAAUGUUUGUGUCUCUCCAGAAUUCAUGUGUUGAAACAAAAUCCCCAGUGUGAUGGUAUUGGGAGGUGGGGUCCCUGGGAGGUGAUUAGGUCAUGGAGGCAGAGCCCCUGGGAAUGGGGUUAGUGCACUUAUGAAACAGGCCCCAGAGAGCUGCCCUGCCUCCCUUACCAUGUGAGGAUAUAGCAAGAGGCCACCAUCUAUGAACCGGGAAAUGGGCCCUCACUAGACACUGAGUCCCUUUCACAGGAGGCUACACAAGCCUGACUGAGCGGGGCUCCAUUGGGCUGAUGAGGGAAAGGAAGCUCUCCCUCCCAAAGCUCUGGAAGAUACUGAAACCCAGGCAAAGAGACAACCCAAGGCUGCUGUGUUGUAGAGGAGAGUCACCAAGGACCCCGGGACCCAGAGUGUGGAGGGCAUAGAUGCAGGACGCAGGUAGCAAGAGCCAGUGUGCAGCCUUGGAUGGUGCCAGAGAGGCCUGUGCAUUGGACAGAUAGCUGAGAGGGGCAGCAAGCGUUCUGGGCAGGCGUCAGGCAGGCUUUGCUCAGGGAGGCUGGCUUUGACCUACUUGUGCCUGUGGAGCUGGGCAUGGAGCUGCCAGUGGGCCAGACUGGGAGAGACAUGCCAGGUCACCCCAGCCUCAGGGACAGUCCCUCUUUCCAGUGCCAAGGGUCCAGCCAGAGUCUCCAGCUUUACUCAGAGUCUAAGGCAGUAGACGUUAGUCCUCACACUGCUCUGUUACCCAGAAUGAGUCAAUGACCUUCUAUGGGCCUCUGUUUUCUGUUUGACUAAUGAGGCUGGGGCGAGAAAGAACUGAGUUGCAGAGGAGGGAGUGGGUGCCCCUAGAGAAGGAGGUGGGCCUUGGAGGCUGAGAAGGGCAGUGAGGUUUGAGACGGCUGCAGAGGGCUCCAGAGACAGGCCUCCAGCUCACACCUCGAGGGCGAAGAGAUUCUUCUGGAGUGGAGAGGAAGAGCCUCUGCACCCAUCCCCAUCCUCCCAGUCCUCCCCACGGAGACCACAACUCAAGACCCAGCUGUCCCCUCCCAGUGACUCAGGCUUUGGCUGCCCUCCUGCCCACAUCCAAGCCCUGUCCAGUGCCCCAUAACAGGAAGGGCUGUGGUGUGAGAGAGGAGGAGGGAAGGCUGCCCCGCCAAGGGCCUUCAUGUCCAAGGAGCCAUCUAGGUGGAGGAGUCCUUUGCACCCUCCUGGCCGUGUCACCCUCUGCCACCUCAGAAAUGUGGGUUUGGCCUGAGGUGGGACUCUGUCCUCCUCCCUCUGCACUGAGCAUGGAAGGCCACUUGUUUCUCAUUAGCAAACUGCAGGAUGUCACCACCAUAGGGUGGAUGUGCAUUUUUGUCCUCUUUGCUGGAACGGUGGGGUGUGUGGGCUGAGCCAGGGACAGGGCAGAGGCGGUCAGAAGAGCUGACCAGAGCCUUGUGGGACCCAGGGCAGGGGCUGUGGUUAUAUGGGGCAAAGCUAUUUGGAGGCCACAGGACACCACUGUCCCUGCUAGAACCAAGGGCAGCUAUGCUAAGAUUUGGAGAAGAGGGAAAGGCAGAACCAAUGGCACUGUGGUUGUGAUUUUUGGCAAUAAUUGUGGGCAUUGAUAAUCAUAACGGUAGCAUUCAUUUAUUGAGGACCAGCCAGUGCUAGGUGGUUCAUAUAUAUUAUUUCUUUAAUUCUCUCAAUAACUCUGUUUUACAGAUGAGAAAACUGAGGCUCAAAAGGGUAAAUAAAUGACCUAGUUUUCACAGCAAUUAAGCAUUCAAACCAAGAUCUGCACCCAGGUUGUCUGAUAUUUAUGACUUUUCUUUCAUUAUGCCACAUUGCCUCCUCUAGCCCAGUUGUUUUUUUUUUGUUUUUUUUUUUUUUUUUUUGAGACAGUCUCACUCUGUCCCCAGGCUGGAGUGCAGUAGCGCAAUCUCAGCUCACUGCAACCUCUGCCUCCUGGGCUCAAGCGAUUCUCCUGCCUCAGCCUCUUGUGUAGCUGGGAUUACAGGCACCUGCCACUACAUUCAGCUAAUUUUUGUUUUUUCAGUAGAGACAGGGUAUUUUUUGUAAUUUUGUAUUUUCAGCAUGUUGGCCAGGCUGGUUUCAAACUCCUAACCUCAGGAGAUUUACUUGUCUUGGCCUCCCAAAGUGCUGGGAUUAUAGGCAUGAGCCACUGGGCCUGGCCUCUAGCCCGGUUCUUCAUCUUUUUGUGCCAUGGAUGCAGUCCGAAGUCCAUGGGCCCCUUCCUAGAAUAAUUAAAAAAAAUAGAUUAGAUUUACAAAGGAACCCAAUUAUAUUAAAAUGUGGUUAUCAAAACAUUAAACACAUGUGUGAUAUAGUAAUAUAUGUGCUUUUUAACUAACACAUGAAAUAACAAGAUUUCUGCCAGGCACGGUGGCUCACGCCUGUAAUUCCAGCACUUUGGGAGGCCAAGGCGGGUGGAUCACCUGAGGUCAGGAGUUCAAGACCAGCCUGGCCAACAUGGGGAAACCCUGUCUCUACUAAAAAUAUGAAAAUUAGCUGGGCGUGGUGGCAGGCACCUAUAACCCCAGCUACUCGGGAGGCUGAGGCAGGAGAAUUGCUUGAAUCCGGUGGGCGGAGGUUGCAGUGAGCCAAGAUUGUACCACUGCACUCCAGCCUGGGCGAAAGAGAAAAAUUCUGUCUCAAAAAGAAAAAAAAAAAAAAGAAAGAAAGAAAUAAGAUCUAAUAACUACCAUAAUUUCAAAAUAGUGAUGAAUGUAAAUACUAUUUUGUAUUAUCAGCAAAAGCUGUAAUGUGAUUUUUCUUAACCUUUCUUUUUUUAUUGUUAUACUUUUUUCUGGGGUACAUGUGCAGAACGUGCAGGUUUAUUACAUAGGUAUACACGUGCCAUGGUGGUUUGCUGCACCCAUCAAUCCAUCAUCUACGUUAGGUAUUUCUCCUAAUGCUACCCCUCCCCUAAUCCCCCACCCCAUGACAGGCCCCAGUGUGUGAUAUUCCCCUACCUGUGUCCAUGUGCUCUCAUUGUUCAACUCCCACUUCUGAGUGAGAACAUGUGGUGUUUGGUUUUCUGUUCCUGUGUGAGUUUGCUGAGAAUGAUGCUUCACCCGUGUCCCUGCAAAGAACAUGAACUCAUCCUUUUUUAUGGCUGUAUAGUAUUUCAUGGUGUAUAUGUGCCACAUUUUCUUUAUCCAGUCUAUCACUGAUGGACAUUUGGGUUGGUUCCAAGUCUUUGCUAUUGUGAACAGUGCUGCAGUAAACAUACGUGUGCAUGUGUCUUUAUAGUAGAAUGAUUUAUAAUCCUUUGGGUAUAUACCCAGUAAUGGGAUUGCUGGGUCAAAUGGUAUUUCUGGUUCUAGAUCCUUGAGGAAUCGCCACACUGCCUUUGGCAAUGGUUGAACUAAUUUACACUCCCACCAACAGUGUAAAAGCAUUCUUAUUUCUCAACAGCCUAUUUAUCAAACAGUUGUUUCCUGACUUUUUAAUGAUUGCCAUUCCCAUUGAAAAGCUGUAAUGUGAUUUAUAUUGGUAACAAUGUCAUAAGUACUGACAAUGCCUAUAUUCUUAAUUGAAGGAAAUAUUUAAGUUAGACAGUAGUGAAAAUGAAGGUGUACGGAUUUUCCCAUCUGAGGUCACAGACCCCUGAACUCUAUCUAUGGGCUCCAGGUGAGGAAAGUUGCUACAAUUUGUGUGCAGCUAUUGGGUGGGUUCGUUGGAAACCCUCUCUUUUUUGUCUGGUUGGAGGGAGUGUGCAAACCACUUCCAGUGUGGGGAACGCUGUGCCAGUUGGGGACAUCUUGAGUGAGUCUAUGCCCCACCGACUCUGUCCGUGCCUUACCUGGGAUUUAAGUUGCCAGAUUUAGCAGACAAAAUGACAGAAGACCCAGUUAAAUUUGACUGAUGCUUUUUCAGUCCAUGUCCUGUGCGAUAUUUGAGACAUACUCACUGUAUUAUUUUUCUAUUGCUCUGUAACAAAUGACCACAAACCGAACAGCCUAAACACAAAUUCCAUAGCUGGAAGUUCUGCACGUCAGCAUGGCUCAGCCGCGUCCUCCGCGGAGAGUCUCACAGGCUGCAGUAGAGAUGUCCAGGGGCUGCGCUCCUUUCUGGAGGCUCUGGGAUGUGUCGGCUCCCAGCUCAUUCAGGUUGCUGGCUGGAUUCAUUUUCUUGUGGUUGGAGGGCUGAGGUCCCUCUUUGCUUGCUGCCUCUCAGCUGAGGCUGUUCUCAGCUUCAGAGGCCAUCCACAUUCCUGGCCAGGUGUCUCCAAGCUAUCUCCAAAAGCACGUUUCUCAUCUCUGACUUCCCCUCCACCCCGGCCAAAGAAAACUGCUCUUGAAGGAUUCCUGAGAUCAUAGUAGGCUCCUCCGGGUCAUCUCUCUUUUGUCACAUGACAUAACAAUCGCACUAGUAACGGCCAGAAACAAGAGUCAUGGGACUGCCCUACAAGUCUGCUUGCCACUUACACUAAACACGUAUGGGCUGCUUCUCUGAAAUGAAAACUGCACUUGCCAUCCCUGCUGGGAUUAGAUGCGCUGUGGACCUUGCCUCAUGACCUGGGGCAAUUCUUUUCUCGUCUGGCCCUCAGUUACCCCCUCAGACAACUCCACUGAAUUAUUUAAAAUCUGCAUGUAUGGACUGGGCACCAGCCACCACGGGGCAUGACAUGUACAUGACCCUUUUUCUGCCUUUAGGGUCUCACAGUCUAAAGGUGGAGACUGAAAUACACAUAAGCAAAAGGCUGAGAAAUACGGUGCCAGGCUGGGCACAGUGGUUCACCCCUGUAAUCCCAGCACUUUGGGAGGCUGAGGUGGGCGGAUCACUUGAGGCCAGGAAUUUGAGGACAGCCCGGGCGACAUGGCGAAACUCCAUCUCUACUAAAAAGACAAUAAUUAGCCAGGUAUGCCACCUGUAGUCCCAGCUACUUGGGAGGCCGAGGGGAGGGGAUCACUUGAGCCUGGGAGGUGGAGGCUGCAGUGAGCUGAGAUCCCACCACCGUACUCCAGUCUGGGCAAUUGAGCGAGAACCUAUCUCAAAAGAAAAAAAAAAGAAAAGUGGCCUGAUGGCAGAGAUGGGGGCUGAGGGUGAGGAGACGGAUAAUCAACAGGCCAUGGAGAACAGCAGAGGGAGGGAGAGUGGCUGCUAUUCAACUGGAGAAGGGACAGAGGGGAGACUGGAACAGCUCGCAGGUGGGUGUGAUUAGGACAGAACCUCAAGACUUGGACAGGAACAAGUGGGGAACAGCAACAGCGAAGGCCCGGUGGCGAGGGGUCCUGGUUCCCCCUGGGAGUGGUAUAUGCAGCCGAAGGAUAGGGUGCCUGGGGCCUGGGAGUGUGGGGAGAAAGGAGGAGGGGACACAGUUCUGAGAGAGAGGUGGGGCCGGCCCGGAGGCCUCAAUAGCUGCAGGAGCAGGAGGGUGCGAGAGUCCACGAUGGCCACGGUGCUCACGUGGGAACAGAGCCACUGCAGCAAGGAUACAGCUUCCUCGGCUCUGGCAGGAAAUAAGGUCCUGUGGACCAGGCAGUUGGGAGACAGUCUUAAGUGGUGGACAGAGCUCUGGCCAGAGACAGGAGUCCUGGGUGCUGGCUUUGCCAGUUACUCAUGGCGGGACUCUGGGCAUGCUUGGAACAUGGGAGUCCCAUCUGGGAGCCAGUGUGCUUGGAGCAGAGCAGGCAAGUGGCACAGUGCGUGCAGCAAUCACACAGGGCCUCGUGGGCCACUAACAGGACUCUGGCUUGUAUCCUGGGAAUGGCUGCCUUUGAGCAGAGCCCUACAUGAACUGAUUCAAGCUAAAUGGAGAAUUGCAGCUGCCCCGUGAACAGCCCAUGUGCCCAAUGCUGCCGGGCAGCCCGAGUGGAGCGCGAGAACUGCACCAGACGCUCCCUACCCCAGAGACUUGCCGCGCACCUGGGAGAAGCCACAGGGCAGUGUGUGUAGUGCUCAGAGCCAGGGCUUUCAAAACGGAAGAUCCCAGCUCUGUGGGCUUGAUGGCCUCAACAGUGACAUGGUGCUGGUAGCACCCUACAUGGUUGGGUUAUGGUGCAUGACAAAUUGCCUGCACAGAGUAGGCACUGAAAAUAAUAGUAGCUAGUUAUUUACAUAAUAAUACAGGGUAGCAGAGCUCCUCAUGAGAGGUGCAGGUGCUGGUGUUGGUGGUGCCGGAGGGACAUAGGCUAACCUCCAAAGAUGGCAGGACCUGGAGUCUCAGGUAGAUGAAAGAGGAAUGGGAGACGGAGCCCCGGACCUGGCAGGAAGAAGCGCAGUGCGUUCUCCACAGAGACACGAGGGUGAGGCCAGCAUGAAAUCUCAAAUGGAAGCCUCCAGAAGCUGGUGGGGGUUGGGGGGAGAUGCAGGAGAGGGCAUGGACCGGUGCAGAAUUAAGCUGGUGAGGAGGCCAGAUUCUGAAAAGCAUGAAUGUGAGUUGUCUAAUUGGAGGUGACAGGGAGUGGGAGAGGGACCAGAGGCAGUGGGAGGGAGAGCAUGACAGACCCACAGCUGGGCUCAGCUCUUUCCCAUCCCCGAGAAGAGUGGGAGGGGUCAGAGGAGGGGACCUCAGCAGGUGUCCAGGCAUCCGGGAGCCCGGACUGCUAUGCAGGAGGAGGUAGUCCUGUUUCUUCUGAAACCUGAUCUUUCAGGCAGCUGUCCCCCUCAGCCUGACAGAGCAGGGCACAUUCUUUCCCCAGGCAUCAUUCUCACCGGCCUCCCCCAAGGCUGGCUCUUUGAAAAGACAGAGCCCGGUUGGGGAAAGGAAUGGAAAUGGCAGGGCCCCCACGCAUGUCCCAGGGAGCCCCUGAGGGGAAGUGCCCCUCUGGUGCAGGCAGCCCCUGACUUUCUCUCUUCCCACCUUAGAGUCUGCAAGCAGAAAGCCAAGGCCUCUACAUUUGGGUCUGUGCAGCCUCUUAGGCUCUAGGCCAGUGAUUCCCAGCCUGGACUUACCCAGUUCCUAAAUGUCCCAUAGGUAGCAAAGGAGGUUGGAGAGCUAUUUUAGUGUUUAUGAAAAAUCUCCUAGAAAUCAUAUAUUUCUGCACUAGAGCUAAUUUCUAGUCAUUCUUCUGAUAACAGCGUCAAUGGCAACCCUCUAGGAAGCUUUCCUACCUGUGUGAGUCAGGUAGGUUCCCAGCCGGAACAGUCGAGUCCUGCAAAUGGGGUAACUGAGGAGAGUUUAAGAAGGGACUAUUGACAAUGUGUUUGGCUGGAUUAAAGGACACCAACAAGGGGUGAUGAAACAGCUAGCAGCAGCAGCUCAAGUCCUCGUUCCACCAUAAGUCCACAGGAACAAGGGAAGGGGGUAGCUACCAGAACUUUGCAAGACCUAUAGCUGUAAGAAGGGGCCUCCUGACAGGCUCUGUGGCCUUCAGUAGAGGACCACAGCCACAGCAGCCCCAGAUCCAUGGUGGCUGAUCAGGGAGGAAGCUGACCUCCUCCCCCUCCUGCCAGGGAAUCCCACUGGCAAAAACUCAACUGGAAGAGACAGGGCAGAGGAGGGCGGUUGGCACAGUCCUUCGAGUGAGCCUGGGGCAUGCAGCAGGGUGGGUGCAGGUGCAGAGUGCGUCUGGAGGGACAGAAGGAGAACAUCUAGCCCACCUCCCAAGGCUGUGACCCCGGAACCCUGUGCUUGCCUGGUAUGUAAUGCUGUAUUGUGAUUGGCUGUUUCCUUGUCUGUAUCUCCUCCAAGACUCAACUCUCCUGGAGGGCAGGGGCUGUGCUUUGUUCACACAUACUCAAUAAACUCCAUUGGGUAAAAUAAAUAACAAGGCUGCUCAGAUUCACCGUAACAUCACAUUUCUCUGCUUGGGAUGCAAUUAAAUCAUCUCCAUGUGGAAGCAGCGGUUAUCUUCUGCCAUCAGCAGCUUCGGAUUACCAGGUCUGUAGGCCCAACUAAUAAAACACAAGCCAGCAAAGUUAAUUAGUCAUUUAAUGAAUUCAAUUUGUCUAGCAGACAAAAAUCCUUCAACACAAGUCAUGAGGCGAGAGUGAGAACAAUAAAAGGAGUCCUCCCUGCUGAAAAUCUCUGAAAACACCCCCUCAGCCAUGAGGGCUGGGCUAUUUCGAGGGUGUUCACAUUUCUUGUGUAACUCAGAGCAGGCCAAAGUAUGGUUCUCCCAGGCCAACCAAGCCCUCAAUUUCAAAUACAUCUUUGUGGAGGAGCCCCUAUGGGUCUGCCUGCCUCUCUCGGUCUCUGCUGCCCCUAUACAGCCCGGGCCACCAAUCGAUACCUCCAAGCUAUCCGCUGCCUAAGAAGCACCAAGAGUCUCACCACCUUCCACCCCUGGCCAGCCUCACCUCCUUUCUUCUCUUUGCCCAGUACCCCAGAUCUCAUCAUGCUUCUGCUCAAAACCUCAUAAUAGCUUCUGGUUUCACUUAGAAGGCAGUCCACGUUCCUUAUCCGGCUGGGCUCCUCCCCACCCACUUCACAGUUGCACUUGGGCUGUCAGCCAGGACUGUUUCCCUGCCUCCUGCUCCUUGCUAGGACUGCGGGUCUCAGUUUCAAUGUCAUUUACUCAGAGGAGCCUUCUCAGAGUCUCCUGUUCUGUUCUCACGAUGGCCUGUGCUUUUCCACCUCAGUGCUCAGUACAACUGGGAAAAUUCACUGCAACUCAUUGUGCGAUUAAACAGGGCCUGCCUGUCCAUGCUGCUGCGAGCUUAGUGACAGCAGGUACCUGGACUGCUUUCUCAACUGCUGGAUCCCCAGUGGCCUGGUCAGUUACCUUCACUACACAUUUGUUGGACAAAUAACAAAGUAAAGGUCUUUCCUGGAAUGCCAACAAGCUUGCUGGGGAGACAAAAGCUGACAUAUAAAACUCUUCAGAACAGCACAGGGUGAUUUGGGUAUAGCUAUCUCCAGAUACCUUGGCCCUUGUUCUUGGAGUUUUAGGAAUUCAGAGAAAGGAAGAAAGGAUCUGAAGGACCUAGUGAAGACUCUCCUUGAGGCCACUCAUUUCAGGGAAGCGAAGGGAAGAGGGUGGGAGAAGUAGCUUUUGUUGUGUACCCAACAGACCAGAAAUCUAUAAUACAAUAUCUUUUUCAAGCCUCAUGAUUGGCUGAGUUUUACAAAUGAGGAAAUUAAGGACAGAGAAGUAAAGUAAGUCAUCCAAGGUCACACAGCAAGGAGGUGGCAGAGCCAAGAAUCGACCCAGGCGGGUCAGAUUCAAGCUUGCGUUCCUGUCACUAGGCAUAGGACAGGAAGUGGGGUGGUAAGAUGUCACCCCUAGGCCAAGGGGGCAGUGGUUUAAAUGGGGGCUCAGGUCAGAAAAGCAUCCUAUCUAUGGUAAUGCGGGAACCUGGCUUUGUUCUGAUACUGAACUCAGAUCUGAGACGCCACCCAGGUGUAUGUUAUAUGGGUUCUGAGAGGUCCAGCAGCAAGCAGGGCAGUUGGGCCCACCCCAGAGCAGCUGUACGCCCUUGGAGAUGGCCUGAAAUUGGCCAAGCUCUGGAAUGAGGGUCUGGGCAUUGCUCCCAGCAUCUGACCUUGGAAGGAAGCAGAAGCAGAGCUGUGGUUUUGAAGAUUUUCCUUCCCCAACGGAGACCCAUUGCAGCCUGUUAUGAAGGACCCAGCACAGGUAGAGAGAGCCAACAAGGUGGAAUGGGGGGCUCUGGCUUGGUGAGAUGGGGGAGGAGAAAGAGGGGUCACUCCUGCCAAGCUGACCUCAGCUGGGUAAUGUGAUCAGCCUGUCAUGGUUCUGAGCCCUGAUUUGGGAAGAACAAAGAGGCCAGGCCCCUCUGCCUCCUCUAGCCCAGGAAUGCAGCUGGGGGCCAGGCCGUGACCAAUGGGGAAUGCAGGUUGGGAGCGCAGCGAAUGCAGUUUGUAGAGCAAGGCUUUCAUGCACUGAUGGGAGCCCCACUCACAAAGCCAGGCUGACAUGCCCCCGCGCUUCCAACUUUGAUAUCCCAGCCCCGCCUUGGGGGAGCCGCACAUCCCCAAGCUGUCUGUGCCCAACUGCCCCGCUGUGGCCCUCGAGUGAUGAUGGGGUGAAGAGUGGAGAGCUCAGAUCCCAACUCCCCUCAACCCCACCAGGAUUCCUAGACACCAACAUCUCCUUGUCCGUCUCUCUCCACCUCGGGAUGUCUGAGGAAUGGACAGGGGGAAACAGCCUCCAGCUCCUGAGGGCUGAGAGAGAUGGAUGGAGAGACAGAAAGAUGGACCACGAGAGAGGCCGCGGGCCUCAGGCAGCCCCUGCUCUGAGCAGGUCACAGAAACUCCUUGAGGCCACCCACUCCAGGGAAAUGAAUAAUGUUAGAGGUGGGGGUUUCACUCCUGGCUUGGACAUCUGAAUACUUUCUGCAUUCCAAAGCUGCUAGCUCCCCUUCUCCAGCCCCAGUCUCUUUUCCCACUGGCCGAUUCACUCAGUGUGGGGUCCUUCAGGACUGCCCUUUUCUGCCUUCUCAAUUAUCCACUGCCCCCUCCCUCCUGGUGUCUCUGUGCUCCUGCGCUUCCUCUCCUCCUGGGUGUUAAUAAUGACAGUGCUUUACAGUUUACAAAGCACAAUCACCUGCAGUAACUCGUUUGAUUCUUAUAGGAGCCCUGUGCAGCAGGGACUCUGAUCCUCAUUGCAUGCAGGAAGAGAAGAAGGAAGAGGAGGUGGAGGCUUGAUGAGGAGGUGGUGGCCUGUGAUGGCAAGAGUGAGAUGGGGAGAAUGUCCAGCGGGAGAAGUAAGGGCCAGGAGCUUGAAGGAACUGUGAAAUAAAGAUAUUUCACCUUGAAUGUAUCCAUGUUUGCCUGCUUUAUCCUGGCUCCCUGAGGAAAGUUUGCUCUCAUAAAAAGACCUGAAAAACACACUGAAAUGCAAAUGACUGAGGACAGCUUUCAAAUGGUGCCUCUCAAAGAAGGUAGUUCUUUAUUACAAAUGCAAUCUCGGCGAGGAGAUGCUGGAGAAUCUCUACCUUUAGAAGAGUCAAUCAAGUCAAGAAGAUGGAGCAAAGGGCUUCCCAGAAAGGUCCUUGGCCUUCCAAGAGUUCAAAGAGUCCCAGCCAGAAUUCAUAGAGAGGUGAAUGUGAGAAAAGAAAGCCCCGAGUCACUCUGAUUUCCUCUCCCAGCGACCCAAAACAUUAGAAGCAGAGGCACCUUACAAAUGAUCUAGACCUUUGGUUAAAAACGAGAUUCUCUAUUGUCUCUGCCACUUGCAUUCUUUCAGGCCCUCUGGCAGCUCCUAGGUUUUUGUCAUCCCAGUUUCCUAAUGAGAAAACAGGGCUUCCCUCUCCUGGAUUCAGUGAGAACAUUCCCAGCAAAGGAUUCUGCAUUGGUCCAGCUUAAGGGGUGCCCACCACCCCAGGACCAAGCACGGCAGCCCCGCAAAUAGAAGACCCGGUGGAUGCCUGGACUACAGGGUAAAGGAUGCUGACAAGGAGAGGGUUCCCCGUGAGGAAAACAUCACAGACACCACCCCUGGGUGGCUAAUGAGCUGGGCAACCACCCCAAGUUGAGUCACUACAAAGGGAACUUUCGCUACAGCAUUGUUUGUAAUAAUGAAAUUUUAUAAACUAUCCACACGUUUAUCAACAGGGAAACAAGUGAAUACAUUGGGAUGCCUCUUAGGAAAUUCUAUGCAGCCGUGGAAAAGAUUGAGGUAGAACUGUACAUCUCUAGAUGAAAAAUCUCUAUAAUAUAGUAAGUUUUUUUAAAAAGCAUGCUUCAGUCAUCCGGGCGCAGUGGCUCAUGCCUGUAAUCCUAGCACUUUGGGAGGCCGAGGUAGGCAGAUCAUGAGGUCAGGAGUUCAAAACCAGCCUGGCCAACAUGGUGAAACCUCGUUUCUACUAAAAAUACAAAAAAUUAGCCGGGCGUGGUGAUGGGCCCUUAUAAUCCCAGCUACUCAGGAGGCUGAGCCAGGAGAAUCGCUUGAACCUGGGAGGUAGAGGUUGCAGUGAACCAAGAUCACACCAUUGCACCCCAGCCCAGUGACAGUAUAAGACUCCGUCUCAAAAAAAUAAAUAAAAAUAAAAAAUAAAAAAGCUUGCUUCAAGGCAGUCUGCACAGUAUCAUCUCAUUUAUGUAAAAUGAAGCAAAAUAAAAGCCUAUGUUUUUAUAGAUUUAUGGACAGUAUUUAAAAUUCAUUCUUUAAAAGCUUGAAGGGCUAUACACCUCUAUAUUCAUGGUUUUUUUAAAUUUUUAACAAAGGCAUAUAUUGCUUUUGUAUUAAAAAAUGAAUAGAAAUGAAAAGGAAAAAGUCUAAUGCUUGUAUUUUGUGCUAAGGAAUACGCAGUACAAAGAAAUUAAAUGACCGGCACAAGAUCAUAUGCAGAAAAAUAAGUGAUAUUUAGACCCCGAUCUUCUAACCGCCCAGGAGGUGGACUUUCUUUAAGCAUCCGUCUGGUCUAGGUGCAGGGAUGGGAGGGUCGUGAGGCUGCCAGGGGAACCCAGGCCACAUGGCAGCAGGGAUGUGUCUGUGAGGAAGGAGCAAAGCCUGAAGUUGAGGAAAGGAGUGGGUGUUGAUCCUUUCUGCAUCUUCCUGAUGCCAGGGCCUCUUCCUAUCACUCCCUGCUCUGCAAGCUUACACUGGCCAGAGGACACAGACAUCUGAGGGCCAGGAAUGGGUUAAGCCAGAACCUUCUCUGGAGAGGAAAAGGCCUUACUCUCCUGGAACAUGGAAGGAGCUCAGUGGCUUCUCACUCCUGAGAAGUGAAGAGGCUCAGGUCUGAAUCAAUUAGAGUCUCUAUCUAAAAUGUAAACCAGGUUCCCAACCAAACGCCCCUUUUCCCUCAUCCUGGUCUUGUAGUCUCAUGAAGAAAAAGAGAACCUUUGGAACUGGUGCCCUUUGGAGGCCACAGCUGUUUGCUCCGUGGGGGCCCUGCCCUGAGGAGAGUGCUGGCAGCUCCGCCAGUCCCCUUCCUCACUCUCACGUUCCACUGACACAAACCCACCAGCAACCCGAUGCCCAGGCUAACUCCUCCUCACUCCAGAGCCUCUGCCCAGCACCCUAGGCCUCUGAUAGGAGUCAUGCGGGGGAAAUUUGGGGAGUAGAAGCCCCCAGCACUAAUCUCAAACGCCUAAGAUGCCCCCACCCCUACCAUGUCUUCACAAUUCAGGGUACCCAGAUUUCUAGUGUCCCUCCAGCCAAACAUGGUUUUGAUUCCAUUACCCUCUCCACUGUUUCACAUUUUCUGGAUACCCUCCUGGUCUCUGCACCAUAAGCUUCCCUCCUGAUCAUUCCCUGAUAUGCUGUCUCUUUAGCUAGUCUCGCUUGCUCUGAAAUCUGAUGUGAAGGCAAUUCUGUUCCAGUAUUUUCUGGCUAGGUGACCUUAUAGCACUUAUGGCAAAUUUAUUUUUUAGGGACAAAUAAUAAUUGUGUGUAUUUAUGGGGUGACAACUUUCUUAAUAUUCCUGUCUGGGCUUCAGUUUCUCAUAAGAAGGGAAUUAAAGUGAGGAAUAACUGAAGCAACAUAUUGCAGCCCAGGGUGGAGCCAAGUGUCAGGCCCCUUUCCUGGGGCUCCUCUGUGCCUCAUUCUGGCAGUCAAUGAAGGGAAAUAAGGAGCGGAAAACGAGGAAGGAGCUGGGGAGAGGAGACCACGGGGGAGCUGAAACCAGGAGGAAGUGUUUGCUGUGGGAGAAGUCGGGAAUUCUGGCUGACAACAAACCUGGAGAUGGGCUAUUCCAGAGGAGGACGUGGUCCGAGCCAUGGACACCAGGCCAGGAGAACAGGCCAGUGCACGGUGAAGCGUACCUUGAACCUGACAGUGGCUGAUGUGGCCGAGUGGUGAGCUCUGAGGUUAGAUCACCUUAAGCCAAAAUGUGAAGCAAAGGUUUUGAAGCCUUGGCUCAUGGUGAAAGCAAUUUGGGGGAAGUAGUGGGAGAGGAGGGCUCUACCACGUACCACCCACUGUGAGGCCUGGAGCAAGAACUUCUCUAACUUCUCCAUCAGAAGUUAGCAUAAGGGCUGGGCACCGUGGCUCAUGCCUGUAAUCCCAGCACUUUGGGAGGCUGAGGUGGGCAGAUCACCUGAGGUCAGGAGUUCGAGAUCAGCCUGGCCACGGUGGAGAAACCUGUCUCUACUGAAAAUACAAAAAUUAGGCUGGGCGCGGUGGCUCACGCCUGUAAUCCCAGCACUUUGGGAGGCCGAGGUGGGCAGAUCACAAGGUCAAGAGAUCGAGAUCAUCCUGGCUAACACGGUGAAACCCCGUCUCUACUAAAAAUACAAAAAAUUAGCCAAGCAUGGUGGCGGGCACCUGUAGUCCCAGCUACUCUGGAGGCUGAGGCAGGAGAAUGGCGUGAACUCGGGAGGCGGAGCUUGCAGUGAGCCAAGAUUGUGUCAAUGCACUCCAGGCUGGGCAACGGAGCGAGACUCCAUCUCAAAAAAAAAAAAAAAAAAAAAAAAUUUGCUGGGUGUGGUGGCACAUGCCUAUAAUCCUAGCUACUUGGGAGGCUGAGGCAGGAGAAUCGCUUGAAUCCUGAAGGUGGAGGUUGCAGUGAGCCAAGAUCACGCCAUUGCACCCAGCCUGGGUGACAGAGCGAGACUCCAUCUGAAAAAAGAGAGAGAAGUUAGCAUGAGGUGGAAGCCCCAGGCAGCGGCUUGAAACUGUACUCCAAGGAGGAAUUCCUGCAACGUGGCCAGGGCUCCAUUUCUUCAUAUUAGGCUUAUGGGCCCAAAAUAUGUUUGAAAACUCCAUUGGGUGUACUGAAAACAAGGCCAAAUGGUGUGAGAGGAGGUCUGUGUAUGAGAAGGGCUCAACGAGAAGGAAAAACAUCUAGCGAGAAUGAAAAUGAAGUAGUCAUUAGGACUGGUGAUGGAAUGACCCAGAAACAGAUGAUCAAGACCCUUCCAGUCUUGAAAUGAAGGCCAAGGUGGGCGAAGAGCACAGGUUCAGGGUCGGAUCUCCUGUUUUUUUGUUUGUUUGUUUAUUUGUUUUUGUUGUUUUGUUUCGAGACAGAAUCUCACUCUGUUGCCCAAGCUGGAGUGCAAUGGCACGAUCUCGGCUCACUGCAACCUCUGCCUCCCAAGUUCAAGCGAUUCUCAUGUCUAAGCCUCCCAAGCAGCUGGGAUUACAGGUGCCCGCCACGACGCCCAGCUAAUUUUUGUAUUUUUAGUAGAGAUCGGGUUUCACCAUGUUGGCCAGGCUAGUCUUGAACUGCUGACCUCAGGUGAUCCACCCUCCUCGGCCUCCCAAAGUGCUAGGAUUACAGGCGUGAGCUACCGCAACCAGCAGAUCUCCUGUUUUGAGUCCUGGAUGCAACCAUGUGUCUUUGGGGUGGCUCCUUUCUAUGCUUCAGUUCCUUUAUUUGCAAAGGGAGAUUAAAAACUCUGUCCUUAUCGGGCUCCAUGUAGCUUAAUUAGCAAAUGCACAUAGAGACAGAGACAGUAAGGUAUUAACAGAAGGGUUGGGACACAGAAAAGUAUAGUCAAGAGGAAAGGCAGAACCAGAGAGGAGCAUGGAGAAAUGUCAGAUCCUAGGCACAGGCAGGGGAACAUGUGUAGGUGUGGCCACCUCAAGGACCUUAAACACCAGCUUCCUCCCCUCACCCCAGAUCUGUCUCCAGGACAGUGUUGUCAAAGUCACACUCACCCCAGGACAGACAUGUGGCCUCCUGCGGGAAGGGUUCUGUUCUCCCUAUCCUAGCGCUUUUUUUGUUUUUCUGAAUGCUUCUAUUUGCUAAACACUGUGCUGAGAGCUUCACAUACAUUAUAUUUUAUAAUCCUCACAAUAUCCCAGGAAGGCAGAUAGGUAUGAUUUAGUAACUACAUUUUACAGAUGUGCACACUGCAGCAGUUACAUAGCUAGUAAUUGAAGCCAAAAAUCGAACACAAGUCAUUCCAGAACCCAAUAUUGUUACCAUUAGAGGAUUCUGCAAGUCCUCCUUCAGGCUGCCCUGGGGCGAGGGAAGGCUCCAAAGGAGAACCCCAAGCAUUCACAGUGGCCUCAGCUAGUGUAUGAUGAGUUUCCAUAUGCUGAAAAUAGUGUCUGGCAGAUCAUAAAAGCUUGGUAAUUAUGUAUUUAUUUUUAUUAUGAUUACUAUUAUUCUUAUAUUGGGGCUGUUUCCUGGGAGGCAGUCUAGAACAGUGGAAGUUAAGUUCAAGUACUGGCUUGAACUCCUGGUUAAACAUGCCAGAUGAUGUAUACUCUUUAACUCCAUUCUUCCUGAAACCCCAUUAAAACUAAACUAAAGUGUAUUAGUUAGGAUUCUCUAGAGGGAAGGACUCAUAGGAUAGAUGUAGAUAUGAAAAGGAGAAUAUUAAGGAGUAUUGACUCACACGAUUACAAGGUGAAGUCCCACAAUAGGUCGUUUGCAAGCUGAGGAGCAAGGAAGCCAGUUCGAGUUCUAAAACCUUAAAAGUAGGGAAGCUGACAGUGCAACCUUCAGUCUGUGGCUGAAGGCCAAGAGCCCCUGGUGAACCACUGGUGUAACUCCAUGAGUCCAAAAGCUGAAGAACUUGGAGUCCAAUGUUUGAGGGCAGGAAGCAUCCAGCAUGGGAGAAGGAUGAAGGCUGGAAGACUGAUAUUCAAUAUUAACCAUCACAUUAAAACACAACAAAAAAUAUUACAAACUCACAAAAACUACGGGAAAGGAGAUAAGAGCAACACAAUUCUGGAGGCUAGGAAGCACAUUUGACAAGUACCAUAUUAAUAAGUUGGACCUGUCUAAGCAGGCCUGAGAAAGUUCAAUCCUAACUCAGACAGGAACAUCCUACAUUAUAUCUCAGAAGCCUCAAAGACUCAGGAAUGAGCGAUAUAAGAUUCUUCUAGAAAGGAGAGGGGCAAAAUUGGCACUGAAAACAAGAUUUGUUAAAAGGUUGCUCAAAAAGUGGGUAGAUGCCAUGUCCUCUCCCCUGCUCCACACUUCCAUCCUACCAAAGGCUAGACCUCUGUUCUCUAGAGAUGAUAAAAUAGUUUCAACAGUUUCAAUGGGACAGGAGGCACAAUUUGCGACACAUGAAGACAUGGAAGUUAAAUGCCAGUUUAGACCACCAGCCUUCUUCCACUGAAUGGUAAAAGUUAGGCUUAUAUUCUCUAACAGGAGAUAAAGUUUCCCAGAGAAACUUUGUCAAAUGACAUCAAGAGUUUCCCAAGGGAAUGGCCCAGCUAGAUUACCUGCAGUGAAAUCUACACUUGGCAAGCUCUGCCCAUCCAGUGGUAAGUACUACCACACAGCUGUUUGGUACCCUGUUCAUAAGCAGUCACUAAGAAGCACCAGGCGUUUGAAAAAAGCUUCUACCAGCAAAAGGCCGAACAAACAAACAGAAGACAACAAAUCUUGGAGAAAACAAAGACUAUGCAUGGGGAAGAAAACUCUUAUGUACUUAGAAAGUUGUAAUAUUGCAUCUACAAAAUCAAGAAUGGGACGCUAAUAAAAAAAAUAUUGGCCAGGCAUGGUGGCUCACACUUAUAAUCAAAGCACUUUGGGAAGCCAAGAUGGAUCACUUGAGCCCAGAAUUUUGAGACCAGCCUGGGCAACAUGGUGAAGACCCAUCGCUAUGAAAAAAUACAAAAAUUAGCUGGACAUGGUGCUGCGUGCCUGUAGUCCCAGUUACUUGGAGGGCUGAAGCAGGAGGAUUUCUUGAGCCCGGGAGGUUGAGGCUGCAGUGGGCUGUGAUCAUACCACUGGACUCCAGCCUGGGCAGCAGAGUGAGACCCUGUCUCAAAAAAAAAGAAUGGAAUUACUGGGGAACAAAAAAGAACUCUUGGAAACUAAAUAUGAUAGGAUAAAGUUUUAACAAUCAAUAGAUGAUUGAAAAAUAAGUGGAGGAAAUUAAUCAGAAAGUAGAGGUAAGAGUUAGGAGAGAAGAAAAAAGAGAAUUAUAAGAUGCAUUCAAGAAAAUAUUCAAAUUACAGGAAUUCCAAAAAGAGAUAAUAGAGAAAAUAGAGGUUAAAAAAGUAAAUUAGGCUGAACAUGGCAGCUCACACCUGGAAUCCCAGCACUUUAGGAGGCCAAGGUGGGAGGAUCACUUGAGGCCAGGAGUUCGAGAUCAGCCUGCUUAAUAUAGCAAGACCCCAUCUCUAAAAAAAUAAAAAAUAAAUUAUCUAGGCAUGGUGAUGGAUGCCUGGUGUCCUAGCUACUUGGGAGGAUGAGGAAGGAGGAUCGCUUGAGCCUAGGAGUUUGAGGCUGCUGUGAGCUAUGAUCAUGCCACUGCACCCUAGCCUUAGUGACAGAGUGAGACUUCAUCUCUAAAAAAAUAAAAAUAAAUACAAUUCAAUCAAUCAGCCAAGCAAAGUGGCUCAUACCUGUAAUCCCAGCACUUUGGGAGGCCAAGAGGGGAGGAUUACUUGAGUCCAGGAGUUUGAGACCAGCCUGGGCAACAUAGU